rnacentral:rRNA from 1 species
GACGAACGCUGGCGGCGCGCCUAACACAUGCAAGUCGAACGAGAGAGAAGGAGCUUGCUUCUUCGAUCGAGUGGCGAACGGGUGAGUAACGCGUGAGGAACCUGCCUCAAAGAGGGGGACAACAGUUGGAAACGACUGCUAAUACCGCAUAAGCCCACGGGUCGGCAUCGACCAGAGGGAAAAGGAGCAAUCCGCUUUGAGAUGGCCUCGCGUCCGAUUAGCUAGUUGGUGAGGUAAUGGCCCACCAAGGCGACGAUCGGUAGCCGGACUGAGAGGUUGAACGGCCACAUUGGGACUGAGACACGGCCCAGACUCCUACGGGAGGCAGCAGUGGGGAAUAUUGCACAAUGGGGGAAACCCUGAUGCAGCGACGCCGCGUGGAGGAAGAAGGUCUUCGGAUUGUAAACUCCUGU